CAGGUUGUAGUUUAAUAAAAAUAUAGGCUUUGGAAGUCUUUGAUUCUACUCAUAUAGACGUCCUGA
rnacentral:tRNA from 1 species